rnacentral:misc_RNA from 1 species
AUGUUGUAUUCACCAUCUUGUAUGAGAUAUUUGUUUCAAAUCAGCAUAAAAAAUUCAGUUCAAGGUGGAACAAAUAUGUGUGGGGUUUUUUUUUCUCUGUAAUCACAUUAUUUAUCAAUUGUAAUCCAUAUUAUUGAAAAUAAAUCAUAGAAUACAAGAGUACUAUUCUAAGAAUAUAAUUUUUUGGCUUUACUAAAGACAUUAGAAAGAUGUUGAUGCUUUUGUAAAUUUAGCUGCUGUGAUUCAAAAAUAAAGAAGGAAAUUCCUAUU